rnacentral:rRNA from 1 species
CAGUAGCCGCGGGAACACGAAGGGUGCAAGCGUUAAUCGGAAUUACUGGGCGUAAAGCGUGCGUAGGCGGUUUGUUAAGUCUGCUGUGAAAUCCCCGGGCUCAACCUGGGAAUGGCAGUGGAUACUGGCAAGCUAGAGUGUGUCAGAGGAUGGUGGAAUUCCCGGUGUAGCGGUGAAAUGCGUAGAGAUCGGGAGGAACAUCAGUGGCGAAGGCGGCCAUCUGGGACAACACUGACGCUGAGGCACGAAAGCGUGGGGAGCAAACAGGAUUAGAUACCCGUGUAGUCCCUGUCUCUUAUAC